AACGAACGCUGGCGGCAUGCCUAACACAUGCAAGUCGAACGAGACCUUCGGGCCUAGUGGCGCACGGGUGCGUAACGCGUGGGAACCUGCCCUUAGGUUCGGAAUAACUCCCCGAAAGGGGUGCUAAUACCGGAUAAUGUCUUCGGACCAAAGAUUUAUCGCCUUUGGAUGGGCCCGCGUUGGAUUAGCUAGUUGGUAGGGUAAAAGCCUACCAAGGCGAGGAUCCAUAGCUGGUCUGAGAGGAUGAUCAGCCACACUGGGACUGAGACACGGCCCAGACUCCUACGGGAGGCAGCAGUGGGGAAUAUUAGAGAAUGGGCGAAAGCCUGAUCCAGCAAUGCCGGGUGAGUGAUGAAGGCCUUAGGGUUGUAAAGCUCUUUUAGCCGGGAUGAUAAUGACAGUACCGGGUGAAUAAGCUCCGGCUAACUACGUG
rnacentral:rRNA from 1 species